rnacentral:rRNA from 1 species
GAUGAACGCUCGCUGUGUGCCUAAUACAUGCAUGUUGAACGGGAUGUAGCAAUACAUUCAGUAGCGAAUGGGUGAGUAACACGUACCUAACCUACCUUUAAGACUGGGAUAACUAUUGGAAACAAUAGCUAAUACCGGAUAUAGUUAUUUAUCGCAUGAUGAGUAAUAGAAAGGAGCUUCACAGCUUCACUUAAAAAUGGGGGUGCGGAACAUUAGUUAGUUGGUAGGGUAAUGGCCUACCAAGACGAUGAUGUUUAGCCGGGCCGAGAGGCUGUAUGGCCACACUGGGACUGAGAUACGGCCCAGACUCCUACGGGAGGCAGCAGUAAGGAAUUUUCCACAAUGAGCGAAAGCUUGAUGGAGCGACACAGCGCGCAGGAUGAAGUUCUUCGGAAUGUAAACUGCUGUUAUAAGGGAAGAAAAAAUAGAAUAGGAAAUGAUUUUAUCUUGACGGUACCUUAUUAGAAAGCGACGGCAAACUAUGUGCCAGCAGCCGCGGUAAUACAUAGGUCGCAAGCGUUAUCCGGAAUUAUUGGGCGUAAAGCGUCCGUAGGUUUUUUGCUAAGUCUGGAGUUAAAUGCUGAAGCUCAACUUCAGUCCGCUUUGGAUACUGGCAAAAUAGAAUUAUAAAGAGGUUAGCGGAAUUCCUAGUGAAGCGGUGGAAUGCGUAGAUAUUAGGAAGAACACCAAUAGGCGAAGGCAGCUAACUGGUUAUAUAUUGACACUAAGGGACGAAAGCGUGGGGAGCAAACAGG